rnacentral:sRNA from 1 species
UAAAUUAACGUACGUUAAAAACUAAGAAAAGAAAGUAAAAGAUCUUGUGGUGAGCAAGACGAAAGCUUGUCUGUUAUAGCUUACUACGAAAGUUUAAGCUAUUUGCUUGUUGUUUGAGUCUAUGCUUAUGAAAUGGAAAUUGUGUAU